AAGUCGUAACAAGGUUUCCGUAGGUGAACCUGCGGAAGGAUCAUUACAGAUUGUAUGAUUACCUCUACUGUGGGUCCUGGAUAAAAAAUCCAUAGGAAAGCCUUAGGGUCCUUCUAUGUGGCCCCGCAAGGGAGUCCAGUACCGCCAACCUUGCUAAAAUUUUAAAAAAAAUUCGUUGCCUCGGCGGGUUUGCCUGCCGGCGGAUUAACUUUAAACUCUUUAUCUUUAACAACAUUAUUGUAACAGUCUGAGUAAAUAUUUAAAACUAAAUAUUAAAA
rnacentral:misc_RNA from 1 species